rnacentral:rRNA from 1 species
CAGGUUAGUAGAGUUUUUCUUGAAAUCUAAAGAAUUUGGCGGCAUUUUAUCUUUAUAGGGGAACCUGUUCUUUAAAUGAUAAUACACGUUUGGCUCUAUUAAUCGUUAAGGUUUGUAUAUUUCCGUUAUAAGGGGAUUUAUAGAUAAUAUUUCCUUGUUUUUUAAUUAAACUUAAUUUCAGGUCAAGGUGCAGCUUAUAGAUUAAUUUGAAAUGGGUUACAAUAUUUUAAUAUAUACGGAUAUUUUUUUUUAAUUUUAGAUUGAAGGUGGAUUUAUUAGUAAGUAUUCAUAAUUAUGAGUGCUGAAUUAGCUCUAGUUUGUGC